rnacentral:rRNA from 1 species
GACGAACGCUGGCGGCGUGCUUAACACAUGCAAGUCGAACGGAAAGGCCCUGCUUUUGUGGGGUGCUCGAGUGGCGAACGGGUGAGUAACACGUGAGUAACCUGCCCUUGACUUUGGGAUAACUUCAGGAAACUGGGGCUAAUACCGUAUAGGAGCUCCUGCUGCAUGGUGGGGGUUGGAAAGUUUCGGCGGUUGGGGAUGGACUCGCGGCUUAUCAGCUUGUUGGUGGGGUAGUGGCUUACCAAGGCUUUGACGGGUAGCCGGCCUGAGAGGGUGACCGGCCACAUUGGGCCUGAGAUACGGCCCAGACUCCUACGGGAGGCAGCAGUGGGGAAUAUUGCACAAUGGGCGGAAGCCUGAUGCAGCAACGCCGCGUGCGGGAUGACGGCCUUCGGGUUGUAAACCGCUUUCGCCUGUGACGAAGCGUGAGUGACGGUAAUGGGUAAAGAAGCACCGGCUAACUACGUG